UUCUUCGGAGAGUUUGAUCCUGGCUCAGGAUGAACGCUGGCGGCGUGCCUAAUACAUGCAAGUCGAGCGAACUGAUUAGAAGCUUGCUUCUAUGACGUUAGCGGCGGACGGGUGAGUAACACGUGGGCAACCUGCCUGUAAGACUGGGAUAACUUCGGGAAACCGAAGCUAAUACCGGAUAGGAUCUUCUCCUUCAUGGGAGAUGAUUGAAAGAUGGUUUCGGCUAUCACUUACAGAUGGGCCCGCGGUGCAUUAGCUAGUUGGUGAGGUAACGGCUCACCAAGGCAACGAUGCAUAGCCGACCU
rnacentral:rRNA from 1 species